AAUGGGGGCAACCCUGACGAAGCAAUGCCGCGUGGAUGAAGAAGGCCUUCGGGUUGUAAAGUCCUUUCGUGGGGGACGAAAAGGCGGGUNCUAAUACAAUCUGCUGUUGACGUGAACCCAAGAAGAAGCACCGGCUAACUCCGUGCCAGCAGCCGCGGUAAUACGGGGGGUGCAAGCGUUAAUCGGAAUCACUGGGCGUAAAGGGUGCGUAGGCGGUACGUUAGGUCUGUCGUGAAAUCCCCGGGCUCAACCUGGGAAUGGCGGUNGAAACCGGCGCACUAGAGUAUGGGAGAGGGUGGUGGAAUUCCAGGUGUAGCGGUGAAAUGCGUAGAGAUCUGGAGGAACAUCAGUGGCGAAGGCGGCCACCUGGCCCAAUACUGACGCUGAGGCACGAAAGCGUGGGGAGCAAACAGGAUUAAAUACCCUGGUAGUCCACGCCCUAAACGAUGAAUACUAGAUGUUUGGUGCCUAGCGUACUUGAGUGUCGUAACUAACCCAAUAAGUAUUUCCGCCUUGGGAAAGUACCCGGCCCCAAGGGUUAA
rnacentral:rRNA from 1 species